CAUCCUACUGGCAGAGGUGUAGGCACUGGCCAGACCAUCACUGGCCACCACCAUGGGUGCCAUCAUCCACACGCACCGCAAACACACAGCUCCUGCCUGCUGGUGCUCACGCAGAUCAGAGGCAGCUCAGCCUCCUUCCCGGGAAACGGCAUUUACAAAAAUAGAAAGCUGGAAAUGCCACUGCACGGUAGCUAAAUAUAGCCUCACCGACAGACGAGCCGCAGCGCUCGCUCCAAAAACCAAGGCACAGGAGGCCAGCCCUGAUGUGGGGAAGCAACACUGCAUCCCAGAGGAAGGGUUUCUCUGGUUCAUGCUGAAAUAA
rnacentral:lncRNA from 1 species